GACGAACGCUGGCGGCGUGCUUAACACAUGCAAGUCGAACGGAAAGGCCCUGCUUUUGUGGGGUGCUCGAGUGGCGAACGGGUGAGUAACACGUGAGUAACCUGCCCUUGACUUUGGGAUAACUUCAGGAAACUGGGGCUAAUACCGGAUAGGAGCUCCUGCUGCAUGGUGGGGGUUGGAAAGUUUCGGCGGUUGGGGAUGGACUCGCGGCUUAUCAGCUUGUUGGUGGGGUAGUGGCUUACCAAGGGUUUGACGGGUAGCCGGCCUGAGAGGGUGACCGGGCACAUUGGGCCUGAGGGAGGCCCCAGAAUGCUACGGGACGCAGCAGGCGGGAAUAUUGCACAAUGGGCGGAAGCCUGAUGCGGCAACGCCGCGUGCGGGAUGACGGCCUUCGGGGUGUAAACCGCUUUCGCCUGUGACGAAGCGUGAGUGACGGUAAUGGGUAAAGAAGCACCGGCUAACUACGUG
rnacentral:rRNA from 1 species